rnacentral:rRNA from 1 species
AUACGUAGGGAGCGAGCGUUGUCCGGAAUUACUGGGUGUAAAGGGAGCGUAGGCGGGAGUGCAAGUCGGGAGUGAAAUCUAGGGGCUCAACCCCUAAACUGCUUUUGAAACUGUAUCCCUUGAGUAUCGGAGAGGCAGGCGGAAUUCCUAGUGUAGCGGGGAAAUGCGUAGAUAUUAGGAGGAACACCAGUGGCGAAGGCGGCCUGCUGGACGACAACUGACGCUGAGGCGCGAAAGCGUGGGGAGCAAACAGGAUUAGAUACCCUGGUAGUCCACGCUGUAAACGAUGAAUACUAGGUGUGGGGGGACUGACCCCCUCCGUGCCGCAGUUAACACAAUAAGUAUUCCACCUGGGGAGUACGAUCGCAAGAUUGAAACUCAAAUGAAUUGGCGGGG